GAAAAUUCUAAAGUAUAUCUCAAGCUAUGACAUAUGCAUCUAGGAGUAUGUUUCAGAUUACCUUAAACUGUACAUCACAAAAAUACAUACUUUUGAAGUAUUUCACAUAUGUUCAUUUUUCUCUUUUAAUGAAUUUCCCUUUAACUCUUACACAUCUGCCUAACAGUACACAAGGAGGAAAUCUGUAGAGUUUGUUAUUAGCCUUUAAAUAAGGUUAAAUUGCCAUUUAUGUAAGCGUAGAUAAUUAUUGUAUCCAUCCAAAUUUGAGAGUAGGAUUUGGACUUUUUUGUGACUUGCAAGAUUUGAAUGCAGCCUUCUAGAAUGUCAGUACUGUCAUUGCAGAUUUUGCAGCUUCAGCAUCCUGAUGAUGGCUUGCCUCAGAAAUGCAGYUGCUGUCUGAAUGAGGAGUACAUAGAGAUGUAUGUAGCCUGCAUUAUCAUUUAAUACAGCCCAGUAGCCUGGAUCCAGCUAGCUCUGGUGCUACAAAAUCAAGACAGUAAAUUCCGGGUUUUCUCUGAAUGAAGAGCACAUGUGGAAGGGAGCAGGGUGUCGAGAUACUGAAGUUAACAUCAGAUGAGCUGGCUCUGGAAUCAGAAGCAAUGCAGUCAUGACACUGAAGCGCUGCGCUGGAGGUAAAUGCCCUGGCAGAGAUGCUGGCCUAGUUACACAUGACAGUCUAACACCGUCCUUCCUUCUGGGAUCUGUGCUAGUACUGCUGCACUGCAACAUAUUGAUGUCCUGUUUCAGCCCCUCAAAGCUUUUGCUGGAGCUCUUCUAUGAAAUUUGGACUCCGAUUUUACAGCACCUGGAGUGACCAGAGGCCUGUCCCGAUUGGAGCCUUUGGCAUGGACCGUAGUACGGACAGGGAGCAAUAGCAGUAACAGAGCACCUGCUCUGCCAAAAACGGCUCAGGCGCCCGGCUUCAGAGGUGGGCCAGCUCUUGCCAAUUGCUCGUCUGAUGCGCAGAGAUGCUACACAAGUUGCAUGUGCUGCCAUUCACGUUAAUAAACUGUAGCGCACAUUGACA
rnacentral:lncRNA from 1 species